CAUUAGGGGUGGAAUAUUAUGAUGUCUAUAAUUUACUUUAAAAUACUUCAGGGCUGGGCGUGGAGGAUCAUGCUUGUAAUCCCAACAUUUUGUGAGGCCAAGGUGGGAGGAUCUCUUGAGCCCAGGAGUUUGAGACCAGCCUGGGCAACAAUGUGAAACACUGGCUCUAAAAACAAAAACAAAAAGAAAAACAAAAACAUGAAACUAAACUAAAAAAAAACCAAAAAACACAAAAAGCAAAAAAACCCUUCAGCAUUAACUACAAUAAAUGGAGUUGGCAGGAAAAGAAAUAAGAUAAAAUAUAUAAAACGUUUCAUAAACUUACACCUGAAAGACAGUGUCAUAGGUAAGGCAGCCCCCAAUGAUCCCACCUUCUGAUAUUCAGCCCCUCCUUGAGUGUGGUCUACACUUUUCAACUUGUUUCUUCUUCCCCCCCUUUUUUUUUUUUAAUUGAGACAGAGUCUCACUCUGGAGUGCAGUGGUGCAAUCCCGGCUCACUGCUGGGACUACAGGCGUGCACCACCACGCCUGAUUAAUUUUUGUAUUUUUAGCAGAGAUCGGUUUUCACUGUGUUGGCCAGGCUGGUCUUGCUCCUACUUCAGGUGAUCCACCCGCCUUGGCCUCCCAAAGUGCUGGAAUUACAGGCGUGAGCCACCGCACACAGCCUCACCUUGCUUCUAAUGAAUGGAUAUGGGCAGAAGUGAUGGAAUUUCACUCCCAAUAUUAUUGAAAUAUUGGAGGUUACAAAAGGUUACAAGUCUGUGGCUUCCAUCCUGAGAUUGCUUGUGCUGGGAGAAGGACACUGUCAUGUUGUGAUCAGCUCUGUGGACAUGCCCAUGUGUGGCAUGUCUUCUGUCUAGCAACCUAUGAGGAACUGACAUGCAUUAAAAGCCAGCUAUCUGAAUGUCGCCUUGCAUCAGUCCUAUCAUCUGUCUGAGCCUCAGUUUCCUCAUUUGUAAAUUGGGGACAAUACAUCCACCUUGCAGGGCUGUUGA
rnacentral:lncRNA from 10 species